AUUGAACGCUGGCGGCAUGCCUUACACAUGCAAGUCGAACGGCAGCAUAGAGAGCUUGCUCUCUGAUGGCGAGUGGCGAACGGGUGAGUAAAGCAUCGGAACGUACCGUGUAGUGGGGGAUAACGUAGCGAAAGUUACGCUAAUACCGCAUACGUACUGAGGUAGAAAGCAGGGGAUCGUAAGACCUUGCGCUAUACGAGCGGCCGAUGUCAGAUUAGCUAGUUGGUAGGGUAAAGGCCUACCAAGGCGACGAUCUGUAGCGGGUCUGAGAGGAUAAUCCGCCACACUGGGACUGAGACACGGCCCAGACUCCUACGGGAGGCAGCAGUGGGGAAUUUUGGACAAUGGGGGCAACCCUGAUCCAGCCAUGCCGCGUGAGUGAAGAAGGCCUUCGGGUUGUAAAGCUCUUUCGGCCGGGAAGAAAUCGCACAAGCUAAUACCCUGUGUGGAUGACGGUACCGGCAUAAGAAGCACCGGCUAACUACGUGCCAGCAGCCGCCGUAA
rnacentral:rRNA from 1 species